rnacentral:rRNA from 1 species
CACGCGACCCCAGCUCAGGCGGGGCCACCCGCUGAGUUUAAGCAUAUCAAUAAGCGGAGGAAAA